GACAAAAAUCAAUUUUAUUUUUAUAUACUAUUGAACAACUAGAAACUGAAAAAUUUUAAAUAAUACCAUUUAUAGUAGCACUAAAAACAUGAAAUACUUAGGUAUAAAUAUAAUAUGUGCAGAUUCUGUAUACUGAAAAUGAUAAAACAUUGAUGGAAGAAAUUAAAGAACAUCUAAAUAAUACCAGACCUGGUACCAGUUCCUUUACAUAUAUUUCCUCUUUGACUCUUCAGAACCAUUCUGUGUCAUACUUACUACCCCCAGGCUCAGAGUCUGACUUAUCCAAGGCCAUAUGAUAAAAGAAUUCAUAGCAGCUUCAUUUUGGAAUAGCCCCAAAUUGGAAAUAACUCAAAUGUCCUUCAACCAGUGACUGGAUAAGCAAACCAUGGUAUAGCCACAUCAUGGAUUAUUACUCAGCAAUAAAAAUGAACGUUUUAUUAGAAUAUGAAACAACCUAGAUGAAUCUCCAGGGCAUUACUCUGUGUGAAGAAAGCCAGUCCCAAAUGGUUACACACUGUACAAUUCCAUUUAUAUAACAUUUUUGAAAUGACAACAUUAUAGAGAUGGAGAACAGAUUAGUGGUUGCCUGUGGCUAGAGAUGGGGGGUAGGGGAGAGGGGUAGGUGUAAUUAUAAAACGGUAGCAGGAGAGACUGUGAGAACUAGACCCCAAGACCUGACCUUUACUGCCUACCUGCUUGUACUCACCAACUUUUGUCCCACAUUUUUCCUUAAGCUCUUCUUUCCAGCUUAUCUCUUUAAUUCAGGCAAAAGACCCAAUGGUCAUAGCAUCCUGUGAUGGAAACUGCCUGGAUAAAGAGCAGUAGCUGGCCUAGACCCCCCAGAUCAGUUUCAAUUCAACCCCUGACUCACAUGUGUGCAGAUGGGCCAUGGAGUGACCAGCUGUUACCUUUCCCUCAUUAUAAUACUAAAAUCUCCACUCAAGGAGGAGCAUGAACCUCAUUUACAUAAUAUACGAUGCACAUUAUUGGCAUGUUUCCUUAAGGUGCAUGCACAACUUUAUGCCCACCUCUACAUAUGAUGACAAGGACCUCUUAUCUAAAUAUUCAUCCUAACCCUAAAUAAAAGGAAUUAAUUCACCCUUGCUCAAAGAGUCACAGCUUUGGAAGUUAUUACCCAUGAUCUCACUUGCUGCAAAUGCAGUUUACCCGUGAAAGCAUUCUAUGUGGUGUAGUUUCUAUCUGUGAUUCACUAAGGAUCAAAAUCACUUUAGUUCAGUUACAGGAUCAUAGUGGUCAUCAAACAUUUCUAGAUAUUGAUUGUGGUACAGUUGUAUGAAUCUACACAUGUGAUAAAAUUGCAUAGGCCUAUACACAUACAUAAAUAAGUGCUUAUAAAACUGGUAUAAUGUGAACAAACUCUGUGGAUUGUAUCAUUGUCAACUUCCCAGUGUUGACAUUAUACUGUGGUUGUAUAAGAUGUCACCACUGCAGAAAACUGGGUGAAGUAUGCAUGAGACCUCUCUGUAUAAUUUUUGUAACUUUCUAUGAAGCCAUAACUAUUUCCAAAUAAAAAGGCUUAAAAAAAAUAUCCAGGCUUCUAUACCACAACCCCCAACAGUAUGCCAUCAAAAGACACCGAAGUCUCUCUGAAAGAGUAUGGGAAUCACAUUAGAGCUCCCCUUCAGAGAUGAAACCUCUACUUACCACUUUUUCUUGAUUCAAUAUUUACUGAGAGUCCAACUGGGAAUCAGGCCUUAUAUUGGAAGCUAAGUGAUAGGAGAUGCAUGAUUUAUGACACCUUCUCAAGUGAGCUCCCAACCUAGUUGCUAAUGAAAAGACCUAAUAUGAUAAGAACAUCGGACUACUACAAGUCCGAAGAAUUCUGUCCUUGUGGAACCACUUACUAGGUUUUUUAGUUUGGACCAAUCCAUUUCCUCUUGGUGCGCUGACUUCUUAACCUGCAAAAUUUGGGAGAAUGAAAUACAUAUAAAUAAAUGUAUUUUAAACUAAACCUGGGUCCUGUGAGUAGGUUCAAGGAUAUCUGGAAAUCACCUAAAAUUAUAUGCAUAAAUAUGUAGAAUAAUUCCAGAUGAGGUAUUGUUUUCAGAUUCUGGGCAUUUGCUCACCCAUACAGUUUAGAAUAACUGCAUUUAACUUUUAGAUUUAAUAUGUAUGGUCCCUUCCAUUCUAACAUUCCACAAUUCUAAUAGACCUCCAAGAUCUAUUUCUAAUAUUCCAUGAUUCUAAUAGGGAUGCAAGAAAUGGGACUAGAGAUCUAACAUUCUGAGAUUCCAUGGACUGCAAGAGUUCAUUCCCUUUCCCAAAAGAACAAGGGUUCAAUUUUUCAACAUGGGAUUCUAGACAGUCUAUGAUUUAACUUCCAAAUGACCUUCCAAACUCAGCUUUCAUCCCUUUCCCAUACCCUGGCCACGCCCCCAGGUGUAGACUGCAGUUUCCACAAAGUUUUGCUCCCAUUCACUCUGUGCUUGGCACAGGCAAUGCCUUCUACCUGGAAUGCCCUAAAUCUCCCUUUUUCUUCUUGAGUCUCAGCUUAAAGUUCUCCUCCCCGCCCCCAGUAAAAAUCUUCCAUGACCCUUCAUCCUUGCAGCAAGGUUUGAUGUGCUCCCUUAAGCCCAGAUUUCUGACUGCCUGUCGCCAUCCAGGGAAUAGGACUGUUGGUUCACUCAGGGCAGUGAAUCAAAAUGCCAAGAGGCGAGGCAAAGGAAGUAAAGGUUUGAAGCUAGUAGGUAUAACAAACUCUAGACUCCUGUUUUCCCAUCUCUGGAAAUAAAGAAAAAUAUCAGAUCUAAGGAAAACAAUCUGAGAGGAACAGUAAAUGUAAACAGCAUUCUGUUUAAGAGACAAAAGGGAGUGGUGGGGAUUGAGGCCAUUUGAAACAGAGCAUCUUGUCCAAAAGAAGGAGACUCUACUCAGUUCCAGCUAAUUGUUGAUUGGCAGGAAUGUGGGUGGGUCCAUCCAAUGUGGUCAGCUCAUCUACUUUUUCAAGAGAAGCUGGAAAUCCAGAUUUGCACAUGUGAAAUCUCCCAAUUUUAAGUGCCAAUAACUAAAAAAUAUUCAAGACCCAUUGCAAUGACUUUCAGGGUUUUCAGGCUAUGAAAAAUGUUCUGUGAGAAUCCAUUUCUACCUAUCCAAGAGAGCAUAUCCUAUUAAGAAGGCAAGUUUUAUAUCAGGGCUGCUGGUGUAUUGCAAGUUGUUAAACAGACCCACUCCUUCUGCACAAAGCUCAGACAAAACCUUUCAUAUGGGUCCCCUGUCUCUCUCUCUCUCUUUGGGUCUUAGCUUCCCUAUCUACCAAUGGCAGUAUAAAGCAUAAUUGUGAGUCAGCUGUCAAGAGGUACGAGGUUUCAUCUGUAUCAUCUCGCUGAACUCUCCUAACUUCUGAGGUAAAUUGUAUUAUCUCCACAUUUUACAGCUCUAAAAAAAAAACCUGCCACUCAGAGAUAGCAGUUUAUCGAAUGAAGACAACAGCAAACAUAUUUUUAAAAAAAACCCUUUCCUUCAAAGGGCUUUACUGCUUUAAUCCUCUCAACAAGUCUGGCCUAAGGCAAAUAAACCCUGAAAUGGGGAGUCCACCAAGGCAGCCUGACUCCAAAGCGGUAGCACCGUGUUGCUUAACAGGAACAUAAUGCAAACCAUACAUAUAAAUUUUUCUAGUAGCCACACUUGAAAAGUAAAAUGACACAGGUUAGGGAUCCCUGGAUAGCUCAGCGGUUUAGCGCCUGCCUUUGGCCCAGGGCCCGAUCCUGGAGUCUCAGGAUCGAGUCCCACGUCAGGCUCCUGGCAUGGAGCCUGCUUCUCCCUCCUCCUGUGUCUCUGCCCCUCUCUCUCUUUCUCUCUCUCUCUCUAUCAUAAAUAAAUAAAUCUUUAAAAAAAAAUGACACAGGUUAAUUUUAAUAAUAGACUUUAUUUGACCCGACACAUGUAAAAUAUUACCAAUCUAACAUGUAAUCAAUAUAAAAGACAUUGAGAUCUAUUACCGGUUGUACCAAAGCUUGGGUAUAUUUUACAUUACAGCACAUCCCCAUUCCGACUAGCCACAUUUCAAAGGACUCAGUAAGCCCACGGAGCUAGCGGCCGCCAUACGGCACAGGGCAUUUAGAGUCUAAUUUUAAUGUUAAAAGCAGAACCCAAAGAGGCACCUGUCCCUUGGUUUCAAAGGACGCGGCCCAAAUAACAAUGGCACACAGCUGUUGAGCAUAUACUUUGUGCCAUGGGAGAGGCGAGUCUUACUGUGUCUGUUGAGGACCUUCACACGUUAGAUUUUGUCAUUCUCGAAACGAGGCGAGUGCCCCUGCUUAUCUCCUUUGACAGAAAGAGGACUUCCCCGGAGCCCGACCUCGUCCCGCCGUCCCGCCCCAGCGAAGCCGUGGCUCGCCACCGUCCCAGUCAGGGGCCAGGAAGGAGGCGCGCACGCAGCGGGACGUGCAGAUCACCUGCGGCCCGGAGCGGGCAAAGUGGGCGAAGACCCCUCGGCGCUCCUUCUCCUCCAGCUCUUCUUCCUGCUCCUCUUCCUCCUCUUCUUCUUCCUCACCCUCCUCGGACUCGGACUCGGACUCCGAUUCC
rnacentral:lncRNA from 1 species